rnacentral:rRNA from 1 species
UACGUAGGGUGCGAGCGUUGUCCGGAAUUAUUGGGCGUAAAGAGCUUGUAGGCGGUUUGUCGCGUCUGCCGUGAAAAUCCGGGGCUCAACCCCGGGCUUGCGGUGGGUACGGGCAGACUAGAGUGUGGUAGGGGAGACUGGAAUUCCUGGUGUAGCGGUGAAAUGCGCAGAUAUCAGGAGGAACACCGAUGGCGAAGGCAGGUCUCUGGGCCACUACUGACGCUGAGAAGCGAAAGCGUGGGGAGCGAACAGG